rnacentral:rRNA from 1 species
UACGAAGGGGGCUAGCGUUGCUCGGAAUCACUGGGCGUAAAGCGCACGUAGGCGGAUCUUUAAGUCAGGGGUGAAAUCCUGGAGCUCAACUCCAGAACUGCCCUUGAUACUGGGGAUCUUGAGUCCGGAAGAGGUGAGUGGAACUCCGAGUGUAGAGGUGAAAUUCGUAGAUAUUCGCAAGAACACCAGUGGCGAAGGCGGCUCACUGGCCCGGUACUGACGCUGAGGUGCGAAAGCGUGGGGAGCAAACAGG